CCCCAGCAGUAAAGGCUACUGCAACCCUCAGCUGGAGUCCCUCUCUUAUUCUGCUGGAUUGCUGUUGCAAGCCCUGUCCGUUACAGGGAGCUGUGUCCACUAUAAUGUGGAGCAGUUCUCCCUAGGUGCCCUCCAGGGUAACCAAGCCCAGGAGAGUGCCCCUCAGCUGCAAGCAGUGCUGAAGGCUUGCCGGGUGACGGGAAGGUACGAGCCUUCCCCAGGGACUUCUCGCUGCUUCAGUUUGGCGCCCAACAUGAGGCCCUGGGCGUGCUCCUGGACCCUGCAGACGGAACUCCUGGAGCCUCUGGACUGCACCUUUGGAUUUCCACUCAAAGUUCCCUUGGCCGUCAAAACACCUCUUGGUGAGCAGACCCCUUUUUGGUGGAUGGCGCUCCCAGAGGACCGGGAACGGUAGCUCCAGGCACCCGUGGAGUCGUUCCCCCCAGCAGGACCGCCAGCUCCAGUUUUCUUUUCACCCCUCGUCAGAUUUUGGUUGCGGCUGAUGGAGCCUCUUCACAUUCAGGACUCCAACUUCCACCUAGUCUCUGUGAGUCCAGAGUGCCUGGGUACUUGGAACGAAGUUGGCUGGAUGCCGUCCCCGACGAUGCUCCCUCAAAAUUGGAAUCUGGCCGUUGUUGAUAUAAAAGACUGUUUCUUCCAAAUUUCUCUGCACCCUGAUGAUGCCCCGCGUUUUGCCUUCACGGUUCCCACCAUCAACUGUGAAGCCCCAAGGAAGCGCUACCAUUGGCGUGUUCUACCCCAGGAAAUGAAGAACAGUCCCAUCAUCUG